CUCACUUCUAUUAUUCUUCACUCACAAAGUCCUCCCCUUUCACCCACAAAUCCCUUUUUUCUGUGUGAAUCUCUUAUAUUAAGUCCAUAUUCGUGCAAGAUCGGAGCUUUUCCCCACAUACAAGAAUAGAGCUUUUCUCCUUCAUAUUAUAACUUUUCCCUUCAGAUCAGAGCUUUUCCUCCUCAUAUCGGAGCUUAUGGAUGUUUUCCACAUUCAUCCUAAAUUUACCUGUUAUCAUUGACACUUAUUUUUUCUAAAUAUGAAAGGAGUUGGAGAAGAUCGAAGCUUACAACAAGAAAAUGAAGUUUUGAUGAGAGUUAGGCGCUUAGCGCCAAUUUGGCAGAGUGAAAACCCAUUGAAGAAGAAAGCCUGGCGCUUAGCGCCACAAAGGUGGUUAUAGGAAAAUUAUAAGGGUGCUUAGCGCCUAGGAUGUUUCCCUCGUUUCAUUUAUAAGCCCAAUUUCAUAUGCUGCAAGCAUCUUCUUGACACAUUUAGGGAGAGAAAUACACAGAGAACUCAGGGAAAACUCAAGUUAAACGGAUCUCGAUCAUCCGAAGAGCUGGAGAUGGUUCUAAGACCUCACAGAUCGCCACUUUUAUCUUAGUUUUCUCUAGUAAGCAUUCUUUGCAAGCCAUGACUAUGGGUGACUAAGUUUUCGUUGUUAGAAUUGAUGUAGCCUUUAACUAUGUGAAAAUAUUGUUUCUAUCAUAUGAUUCAA